UGGUGGUAAGGCAUCACUUCUGGAGAUGAUAUUUUCCUGUUGAUGGCUGAACUGACCUGGGGAAGCAAAAGCAAAACUCAGAGCCUGCAGAGCAAUGGUCCAGAUCUGAGUGAGUUGAAAGGAUUUCCUCUCUUCUGAGCUGUGUCUUUCCCUAAGUGAAAAUUGAAGUUGCUGUGGUACAAUGCCAGGAGCCAGGGAUGAAAGGGAAGACCACUUUGUCUUGGCUAGUUGCCCUUUGGGAAAGGUGCUGUGGCUGUUUCAGCAGACAAAUGCCUGACCCCUCCAGCUUGCCCAAACCACAUCCAUCAGAAAGAUUUCCUCAGCAUUCUGUGUCCAACUGUUUGCUCAGUGAGAUAAGAAAAGUGCUAUAGCUGUGAGUAAAUACUCCAGGCUUUAAGGAAAUCCUGAAGACUUGUUGCAGAAUUACACAAUGGGGGAUUUGGGAACUGAGCACACUUCUGCCAGCACUGACCAGGAUCAGAGGUUAUCAGAGAUGAAGGAGAGGAUGCUCAGCAGUGAUAAAUCUCCAGAUCUCACAGACAACAGGAACAAAACCCUGUCAUGCAAGAUGUGGACGCCAUCACCUCUGGGCCAGGUUUUAGUGGAACACAGCAGAGGAGAGCAAAGACUUCUAGGUCAGAAGAUGACCUUUCCUAAACAGUUAACCGUGAGCAAAGCCCACACCUUUUUCCCCUAUUAAUUCAUAUAAAUGUUUUCUCUUCAUAAAGACUGUAAAGAUAAAAUGCAAGCGGUCAGAGAAGAAGCACUCCAUGUUGAAAAACAGCUUCAUUUUCUCAGUGAAGCGGAUAAAAUUUACUUGUAAAAAACCCAGCUUUUGCCAAGGACAAAUUGAUGCAAAAUCACUACCUUGCCGCAGGUUGAUUAGAAUUGUGUCUUUUCAAAGAAAAAUAGUAUUGCUUAUUAGUGGAUCUGCCAAAUUUUGUCCUGAGUUAAAUUUCUUAAAAUCUGUAAAAAUGUCAGAGUUCAGAGUUGCUAUAAACAUGCACAGGUGACAGUGAUAAGUUGUGUUUAGCUCUAACUAGGAAUUUUAAAAUGAUGUAUAGUGGGUGCAGCU